UUUCUUCGUUUUAUAUUUAUAUUAACUAUGGGAGCUGGCUAAACACCAGCGGUUUAAUAAAGCGUGUGGACAGUAGUUUAUGUGCAGGCUCUUAUAGCAGCAAUAUACAUGAUGACACGCUGCAUAUAAAUGACUUACAGCAUUGCAGAUAGAUUAGUCGGAGUUUCCAUGGUCUGUCCUCGUUCUUUCUGGUGGUUUUCAAGGAUAAAGAGCUGCAGAGAUACUGGAAGGAUAAGCAGAAAAAUGACAUGGUGACCUCAACAAAAAAAAAGCUAAUAAAAUGAUUCAAACUACUGUGCUGCUCGUGCAUAUAUGUUUGCUGAGCACGUUUGAUGCCUUUGAGCGCAUUUGAUGGCUUUGAACACUUAAUUUGGAUGCCUUCUAGCAUCUUUUACCUUUGAUCGCAUUUGAUGAC